CUUGUCUGUGAGUAAUGUCUGUGUUAGUGUUAAGUGAGUCAGUGGUUCGGAUCCUUGAACCUUUAACUCUCUCAAGGGCGUACUAGGCUAGUCGCGCGUCUCUACUGGGCCCACAAGGAAUGGUGGUAGGCUUGGAUGCAUUGUGGCUUUCGAUGACAUGUUGUGGACAGCUGUGUGCCAAAAGAAUGAGAGUACCUAUGGAGGUCCUAAAGAGCAAGACUCAAUGUGGCUGUGAGUGUACAGGCACUGGCAAGAAAGCUGGAAGUUGAAAUGGUGACGUCUGACUUGUCUGGACCAGUUUAAUUUUUUUACUACUGGUUACUCGUUUCUAUCCUGCAAUGGCUUACUUGGGUGCAGAUUUUGGAGACUUUAAGAAGCAUGGUCUCCUGUUUCCCACACUGUUCCUUGAGUAGUCUCCUGAGUAGCCAGGACUGCAGGUGUGUUCCACUGUACCCAUCGAGAACCUUUCAUGGUGUGAAGGAAUCAGCUUGACUACAGUGGAGCAAGUUUCAGAAGAGGAAUAAGAAUUCAUGACUGGAGAAGUACAGGCAGAUCUUCUAAAAGCACAAAAAGGGAUUUUGUGACCACAGCAAGCCUGCAACAUACGUAAUAAGGUGUUUGGAUGCUGAUGGGAAGAUUAAACAAUGUCCUUGAAUGUUAAUAAAUUUCUACAAAUUGUC